UACCACACUGUAAAAUGUAAUAGCUGAGCUUACUAAAAAGAUUAAGUAAACUUAACUUAUUUAAUUAAGUUUGUUAACCUUACUUAGUUUAACUAAGUAAUCCCAACUUUUUUCUAUGCAAACUCAAGUCAACUUGAUUAAACUUAAAAGAUUAAUUUAGCUCAACUUAAAAUUUCAAGUAUUUUCAAAAAGGAUGACUGCACAGUAGGUGGCAGUAAUGCUCCCAAGGAGUAAGUGGUGGCUUAACUGAGUGGUUAACUGAAGAAGACGACAACAGCACAUGGUCGGAUGAGAGCAUGAGGAGCAGGAGCUUGUUUCUUUGAAGAGAGCGCAUACCCUUCAUGGAAAGUCAGUAACGUUACUGUGGAGUACAACCAAGUCGCAAGCAAAAACCUCAAGCAAGAAUUGUUCUCAUCCCUUGCUAAACAUUGUUUUUGAAGAUUUUGAAUGAAAGAAAAGUUUAAAAGCUCUCUUGAGUAUCUUAUAAACAUCACUGAUGUCAAGUGCUCGGUGGACGGUAGUUCUCCGUGGUCUUGCUAUCCUUCUUGCGGAAGACACUACAGACUUCCUGAAAACAAACAUGGACUGUGAUGGUGACCCACCUCAACUAUCAAUAGGAAUUCCCAGUCUGGUGCCGGAGGACAGACACAUUUCUCCACAUGGUUUACAGCAAUUAUUUGGUAGGGUGUCACAGCCAUGGAUGGACUUGAGAAAGUAUCACAUGCCAUGUGUUUAGUUUUUGGACUGAUCGUUGUUUUAAAUAUGGAGUACCUCUUCACAGUU